GGAUCAAUUGAUUGGUCAUGCCAUUGGUAUGUACUGGUCAUAUUGGUUCUCACCUUCUAAGGAACCAUAAUGUCAUUAAUUUGAUGUUUUGGGGAAUUAGGACUGUUACCUUGAAAAAAUUAGAGUGUUUAAAGCAGGCUAACGCUUGAAUACAUUAGCAUGGAAUAAUGAAAUAGGACAUCCGAUUCUAUUUUGUUGGUUUCUAGGAUCGAUGUAAUGAUUAAUAGGGAUAGUUG
rnacentral:rRNA from 1 species